rnacentral:rRNA from 1 species
UGAGGAAUAUUGGUCAAUGGGCGAGAGCCUGAACCAGCCAAGUAGCGUGCAGGAUGACGGCCCUAUGGGUUGUAAACUGCUUUUAUAAGGGAAUAAAGUUAGUCUCGUGAGACUUUUUGCAUGUACCUUAUGAAUAAGGACCGGCUAAUUCCGUGCCAGCAGCCGCGGUAAUACGGAAGGUCCGGGCGUUAUCCGGAUUUAUUGGGUUUAAAGGGAGCGUAGGCCGGAGAUUAAGCGUGUUGUGAAAUGUAGACGCUCAACGUCUGCACUGCAGCGCGAACUGGUUUCCUUGAGUACGCACAAAGUGGGCGGAAUUCGUGGUGUAGCGGUGAAAUGCUUAGAUAUCACGAAGAACUCCGAUUGCGAAGGCAGCUCACUGGAGCGCAACUGACGCUGAAGCUCGAAAGUGCGGGUAUCGAACAGGAUUAGAUACCCUGGUAGUCCGCACGGUAAACGAUGGAUGCCCGCUGUUGGUCUGAACAGGUCAGCGGCCAAGCGAAAGCAUUAAGCAUCCCACCUGGGGAGUACGCCGGCAACGGUGAAACUCAAAGGAAUUGACGGGGGCCCGCACAAGCGGAGGAACAUGUGGUUUAAUUCGAUGAUACGCGAGGAACCUUACCCGGGCUUGAAUUGCAGAGGAAGGAUUUGGAGACAAUGACGCCCUUCGGGGCCUCUGUGAAGGUGCUGCAUGGUUGUCGUCAGCUCGUGCCGUGAGGUGUCGGCUUAAGUGCCAUAACGAGCGCAACCCCUCUCCUUAGUUGCCAUCAGGUUAAGCUGGGCACUCUGGGGACACUGCCACCGUAAGGUGUGAGGAAGGUGGGGAUGACGUCAAAUCAGCACGGCCCUUACGUCCGGGGCUACACACGUGUUACAAUGGCAGGUACAGAGAGACGGUCCCUUGCAAAAGGGAUCAAAUCCUCAAAGCCUGUCUCAGUUCGGACUGGGGUCUGCAACUCGACUACAUGAAGCUGGAAUCGCUAGUAAUCGCGAAUCAGAAUGUCGCGGUGAAUACGUUCCC